CCUUGUUAAUUUGUAAUAGAACUGUCAGCUGACCCUCUUCGAUGUACUGAAAAUAUUGGUGAAGUUUCUGCCAAACUGCAGCAAAGAGGACACUAAUGGCUUUAAAGAUGCAAGGUAUCUUAGGUGUUCACUUGCAGCACUGCUGCUGUCUGUAACCUGGGCAGACCACAACCACCAAGAGGGCAUCAAAAGAGGCUGUGCUGAGAGUGGAUGAGAUUGAAACAGUGGCAACAGCCAUUUUUACGUUGAUGUCCAGGAGUAUUCAUGAAACCAUGGAAUUCAACAGGCCCUUCUUGGUCUUUAUCCUAAAGAAAUCCACCAGGAACAUCCUCUUCACAGUCAAGAUCAACAAUGUAAAGGCACACACUAGGGAAAUAGAUAUUACAUUUGUUACAUUUUAGUUAAUUUUUUCCUCAUACAGCCCUGUAGAGAUGUUAAAGUCAUAUUAAGCCAAUUGGGACGAUGAUGAUUAGAGGAUAUAUUAAUGAAUAAGACAAAUGAUCUAUCACAAAUAACAACAUUGUUAGUCUGUUAAUCUGUUUGCAGUCUUCCAGCAUGACACAGUUAUUUCCAACAGUCAUCUCAACCUGGCUAUAUGUCUAAAGGUUGAAAUACAUCAUUAUACAGUAUACUUCAGUGGCGACGUUUAAAUAUAAGUGACAUAUAACAUUACACUGCUAGCAAAGCAUGGAGAUGUUUAUGAAAGGAUUGCCAAGUAAACAUAAAACAGACGAUGAACCAACACAGACUGCUUCAAACAUCGCAGGAACCAAAACAAAGACAAGAAGAUGUGAUGAAGUACUGUAUAUCUUGCCCUUGGCUUUGCCAGUCUCAAAACAUUUGCCUCUGACAAAAUUAAGCCAGAAAAUUUAAGACACCA